rnacentral:tRNA from 1 species
AAGAAAGUGGCAGAGUGGUUAUGCAGUUGGCUUGAAACUAGCUUAUAGGGGUUCAACUCCCUUCUUUCUCG